ensembl:lncRNA
GGCUCUGAGCCGCACAGCCAGCCAGAGGGUCUCGUGUGGGCUUCUUCAGCGCUGUUCCCGGGGUCUCCACAAGCCCCCCUGGAAGGAUUGGAGAGAGGGAUGGAGAGGGACAAGCAUGAGGUGGCAGUGAUAACCAUACAGACGAAGCUGCUCUUGACAUGGACUCGCACAAAUGCACAAAAAAUGGGUCAAGCUGGUCACUUUUUCAGAGUGGUCAGUGUCCAGUGAGGCAGGUGAAGGGGGCAGCCCUUGUCACUGUGGGAAAGAGAGCAUCAAGAGGAAUUUGCAUGUAUGGCUCAGGUAACAUAGUGGGGGAAGGGUGGAGUGAGGAGACCAAAGCAGACAGAGUAACCCUGACCCUGAGGAAAAAG